AUAUCAUCAAAUCCCCAUCUUCCUCUCGGAUGCCUGGGGCAUUUGGAUUUGGACGUCUGCCGGGUUUCGUCCUCGGCUCGUCCCAAAUGCAUUAGCUGGAUCCCUCCCUUUCCCGGUCCUCACGAUGUGAUAGUUUCAUCUACGUCGUAUUUGCCGGUCGGAAGGGCGGGCCGCUUCUAAACGGUCUUCGCCUCUUUUCGAAGACGAUUCAUCCA
rnacentral:misc_RNA from 1 species